UGAAAAGAAGACCAUAGUGCAUAAUUAACCAGGAAAGGCUUUCCUCUUUGUACAUCAAAUUGAAGACAUCCAGCUUCACAAGUCAAGACAAUGCAUCUCUGUAUAACAAGAUUUUCUCUAAAACCAGUU